rnacentral:rRNA from 1 species
GACGAACGCUGGCGGCGUGCUUAACACAUGCAAGUCGAACGGUGAAGCGCCUUCCUUUUUGGUGGGUGUGGAUGAGUGGCGAACGGGUGAGUAACACGUGAGUAACCUGCCCCCUUCUUCUGGAUAACCGCAUGAAAGUGUUGCUAAUACGGGAUAUUCUGGGUCUGUCGCAUGAUGGGUCUGGGACAGAUAUUGUUUCGGUGGGGGAUGGGUUCGCGGCCUAUCAGCUUGUUGGUGGGGUGAUGGCCUACCAAGGCGGUGACGGGUAGCCGGCCUGAGAGGGUGGACGGUCACACUGGGACUGAGACACGGACCAGACUCCUACGGGAGGCAGCAGUGGGGAAUAUUGCACAAUGGGCGCAAGCCUGAUGCAGCGACGCCGCGUGAGGGAUGGAGGCCUGCGGGUUGUGAACCUCUUUCGCCAGUGAAGCAGGCCUGCCUCGUUUGUGGGUGGGUUGACGGUAGCUGGAUAAGAAGCGCCGGCUAACUACGUG